rnacentral:rRNA from 1 species
ACGUAGGGUGCAAGCGUUAAUCGGAAUUACUGGGCGUAAAGCGUGCGCAGGCGGUUGUGCAAGACAGAUGUGAAAUCCCCGGGCUUAACCCGGAAAGGUCAACUGAUACUGCAGGGCUAGAGUGCAGAAGGGGCAACUGGAAUUCUCGGUGUAGCGGUGAAAUGCGUAGAUAUCGAGAGGAACACCUGCGGCGAAGGCGGGUUGCUGGGCUGACGCUGACGCUGAGGCGCGAAAGCCUGGGGAGCGAACGGGA